ACUUAAUACUUUUUCUAUGUAUUUCUAAUUCAAGAAAGAAUUUUAAUCUGAUACAAUUAGGGUUCUUAAAAAAGGAAACAAUGUAAUUUUUGAUGUACAAUGUUGCAAAAUAUAGAAUAAGAACUCUAUAGGGUAGGAGUAGCUAAAUCUAUAUAAAAACUAUAUAUUUGUGUUCGCAACAGGAAAGUCUCUGCAGAAACAUGGCACAAAAGGUUUGGUCCCUUAAACAGUGCUAACCUAACAAAGAUAAGAAAUGGUUUGUAGAACAUUUUGAAUGUGAGAACAAAAUUGACAGGAACAAUUGUGCCACUUAUUUUUAAUGGAAAACAACAUAGAUUGCCUUUUCCAAAAGAGUACAAAAGACCAGAGAAUCUAUUAGACCUAAUAUAUUGUGACCUCUCUGGUCCUCGGGAAGCCAAAUCUAUUAAAGGUUCAAGUUAUUUUUUUAAAUUUGGAUGAUGAUUGCUCAAAGUUUGGGUUUGUUUACUUUGUAGAGUCCAAGGAUCAAGUCCAAAAACUACUCUCAAGUGCCUAUAAUAAAUAGAUUUUCACUUACAGUUGAAAAUGUCAAUCAAAAAGUCUUUUCCUCGAGACAACACCUAUAAACGAGUCUGUAGCAAUACAAACACACAACAUAAAGUAAUAAUUUCGAGCAAGCGAAACAGAUCAGAGUUAAGUCUGGAAACUCAAGUAAACAAAAAAAGACACUUCAGUGAUGUCGUUAUUUAUUUCGUUAUUUAUUUAUUCAUCAACGUAUAUAACAUUUCAAGUACUUAUUAAUAAUUAACAGUAGUCUUAAGUAAAAACUAUAAUACUAAUAAACAAUACUGUGCUAAACAUAAUCCAAAGAGUGGGUGUAGGGCACUAUCCCAAGAUAGUUGCCCUAGCUGACGACUUUAUUUAAAGAUGUACUGAAAAAAUCAAGAUCUUUUGCAAAUCUAUUCACUGUAGAAGCUAUUCUAUUUAUAGGACUGUUUAGUAGAUAGGAUGUUCUGCAAAAGGGAAUGUGGAGAAGUGCCUGACCUUGUGUUGUGUAAGAAGAUACAUGCAAAGAGAAAAGGCACAGACAUUCCGGACUUCUAACAAUACCAUUCAGAACCUUAAACGCAAAGCAAACAUCAAAGAACUGCCUUCUACUUGAUAAGGAGUUUAUGCUCAGGUAGGACAUGGUCUUUGAACAGGUAAAUCCAGGCCUGACUUCAUAAGAGUAUAUCUGGCAAACCUGAUAAACUUGUGCUGGAUAUUUUCAAGCCUCUCAAUUUGAAUCAGAAAAUGAGGUGACCAAACAAUAUUGGAGAAUUCGAGAAGAGAUCUCACCAGGCAAAUAUAUAGUGUCUUCAAUGCUGACACAUUAGUAAAGUCUUUGCAAGAUCUUUUGAUAAAACCAAGCAGUUUAUUAGCUCUAUUUACAGUAUUUUCAUAUUUCAUAUGAAAUUUUUUUUCAUCUUCAUAUUUUUGAUAAACCAAAAUAAGAAGAUCACAAUAUAGAACUUAAGAAAGGGACCAUUCGAGAGAUGUUUGAUGAUAUAGACAUAAUAAACAACAUUACAGAUGAAUUAUCUCAAUCUAUACCACCACAUCCUCUUUUAGGAAAAUUAUUUUGUAUAAUAAAAAGAGUGUUUUACUUGCCUGGAGAAUGAGGAGCUUACCAAUGAUUUUGGAAAAUUAGUCAUAUGAGACAAAUAGAUAAUUAGAAGGGCUCUAAGCAUACCAUUCAUAUUGUAGUGUAUGGAAGUUUGGCGCCCAACUGUGGGGUUAAUUUAAUAAUAAGUUUAUAGACAGUGGUGCACAAACGUUUCAGAAAAGAAAAUUGGGUUGGGUUGUAUGAGCAACUGAAUUCUUUGAUAGCUCUUAUAAUUAUACCAAGGAACACCUGGAAAUACUAAGAAAUUUACUUAUACCUUUUAAGUUAUGUUUAGGAAUUAAUUUUUCGAUCGAUUUCCUGUGUACACUAUUUGUAGGUAUAUCCGAAACUAAAUUUACUACAGCUUCUUGCAAGGAUGUACCUUUACUAAAUCAAAAUUGUGUCUUUAGAAAAAGACUAUCACCAGCCAAGAUUCUAGGCAGUUUUUAAUUAACCUUUCAUAUAUGUUUUUAAUAUACCUCCUGUAAAAAAGCAUGAAGUAAUAAAAAGACAUUGAUCACCCCAAUGAUGUUUUAACAAUGUUUUAUUAAAUGUCAGGUUCUUCUUGACCUUAGUCCUUAAGUUCCUCAGUUUUUUGAGAGGCACUACUUUAAUAAUUGAAGACCUUGGGGCAAAAACCGGACAUGUCCACUUUUUGGGCGAAAACUACUUUUGCGCAUACCCACGUGCUCCAUGGGAAGGCGCAUUGAUUGGUGCAAGAAUCAAACAAGUCCAACGCAUUUUAACGAGGCAAUAUGCGAUUUGGACAUAGCCGACUGCAUGUUUUGGGGCAAAAAGCGGUCAAGUCCAGGACUUGUCUGAUUUUUGCUCCAAACAUUUACAUCAUUUAUGGAAGGGAUAUAGGACGUGACCGGCGCCAUACUGCUCUGCAUCGAUUAGCAUUUAACCCCUAUAAACUGUUUAUCUAUGAUCGAUUAGUCUAAUAGAUUUAUUUGACGAGUGCGUAUCGUUCGUGCGUGCGUCCAAAUUUGCAUAGUGCGCGUGGAAUUAAGUUUUUUAGUUUUAUUUUUGGAGUGUGUGACACUUAUUUUCUUGAGUGCGUAUUGUGGAUAUUAAAUAUGUCUUCAAGCAGUGCAUAAGAAGACGAUCCUUUUUUAUCAUCGGGGAGUGAAUAUUCACCGUCCGAGGAUUUGCCGAGCACAAGCCGUGGUUUCCGAAAACCAGUGUUGCCAGACAAUAAUAAGAAACGGCAACCUAAAGAUAUUAACAAACCUUACCCGCAGAAACUCCUCGUACCAGAUGUUUUAAAUGUUAAUAUUGGUGAACCGACAACGUGCAACAGAAGGUAGUGGUGAAAAUUCUAAUGUCAAAAAAAAAGGAAGAAAAAGUGACAAGAAACCAGAGAUUUGGGUGAGAAAUGUUCGAAAAAAAAAAUAGGGCUCAGGGGGCGGAAUACAAGUCGGCUAAAACGGGACGAUUAAUGCCAAAACGAAAAACAGGAAUAGAUUGUAAAUGUCGCCUAAAAUGCUUUGACCUUGUAAAGGAGCAGGAGAAAAAUAGGAUUUUAAAGGGUUUUAAUGCUGUCGCUGAAAAAGAAAAAUAGGAUAUUUACCUGGGAGGACUUAUUCAGAUUCGUCUUAACAGCAAAGACCAAAAAAAUAUGUAGAGAUGCGUUCUGUUCUUUUCAUGGCAUGACAAAAGCAUAGAGUACAUCGUAUAGCAACAGCUUUAAAAAAUAACAGACUUCUACCGCCGCCAGAUAUGACAUAGGAAAACACAAAAACAGAGCAAAUAAAAUUCCAGAUAAUAUUAUUUCUCUUAUUGAUAAACACAGAGCUUCCCAAAAAGAUCUUCACAUUACAGUAGAGAAAAAAAACGAGGGAAGGACCUAUUUAUCUCCGGAACUGAAUAUAAAAAAAAUGCAUAUGCUGUAUUUAGAAAAAAAUGAACCAGAGAUUUUUGAAAAAAUAAAGCGUGAUGAAAAAUGUGAUCCAAAAGUAUCUUACGAUUUUUAUUACCGUCAUUUUUGCUCAAACUACAAUAUGAGUUUUGGUACUCCACGGUCAGACAUGUGACAGAAUGGAAAAUUCAACAGCCGCCGAACAAGAUUCUGAGGCAAAAGCAGGUCUAAGAACCCAAAAAAUGAUUCAUAUUAGGAAAGCGGAUGCAUUUUACAAAUCCUUGAAGGAGAAAACAGAAGUUGCCAAAAAUGAUGAAACUGUAGAUGCUUUGUGUUUCGACUACCAACAGAAUUUGCCUCUACCACAUGUUCCAGCCGGAGACGUAUUUUAUAGAAGUCAGUUGUGGCAGUACAACUUUUGCAUUACGUCUGCAAAUUCAGGUAUAUCAACAUUUUAUAUGUAUGAUGAAGCAACAUCAAAAAAAGGUAGUAAUGAGGUGAUAAGUUUUCUGCAUCAUUUCAUAAGCACGUAUUUGUCUGACUCUGUUAUAACGAUAUACCUUUUUUCUGACAAUGCUUUUGCACAAAACAAAAAUCAUACGAUGACCAAAUAUUUGUUUACUGUGGUAAAUUCAAAUAUUAAAAACGUUGGUUUGAUUAUCCAUUAAUAUCCUGAGCCGGGUCACAGCUUUUUACCAUGUAACCGAUCCUUUGGGCUUAUAGAAAAAGAAAAGCGGAAAGCAGAGCGAGUGGAAAGUGGAAAGACUUGGUUCGUAAAACGUCUAAAAAGUUUAGGGUGGUUGAUGUUAAUCAGGACAUCAUUAAGGUAUACUUUCAAGCCCAUUUUUAAGCCUUUAUAUUCUUCUAUGGAAAAAACUUCUAAGUUUGCUAUAUCCACUUACUGAUUAAUUAAAUAUGAAAGAGGCAGUAACUUUAUUGAAUACAGUGAGUCAACGAUUCUACCCGUCUAUAAUAAAUUUUCUGCAAAAAAAUCGGAUAACGUUCUUUCAUUACCGAAUAAUAAACUGGCACAGUGUUAUCCUCUUAAAAUUAAUGAAAAAAAAGUAAAAGAUGUAAUGCUUUUAGUGCAGAAGUAUGUGCCAAAAGCUUAUCAGUGGUACUAUGACGAGAUAUUUGCCAAAGAAUCCGAAGGUAUUCAAGGUGAAGAUAAUGCCGAAAAUCUCGCGAAUUUAGAAGAACCCGCCUAUGAAUCAGACAGUUAAUUUAUAUGAUUAUUUUGUUUAUGUUUUCUUAACAUAUAUUUUUUUUGUUUAGUGGUUUUGAAUUUUUGUUUAUGUGUUCUUAAUAUAUAAAUAUGCUGUUUGCAUAUCAAUAUAUAAAUUUUGUUUUAUUUUAAAUAUAUAUUUUGUGAAUAUUAAACUUUUCUAUUAAAGCUACUUUAUUAUUUGUAUUAUUUUGGCUAAUUUGGGGCAACAUUCGGACAUGUCCAAAUUUUCAAAAUU